GACGAACGCUGGCGGCGUGCUUAACACAUGCAAGUCGUACGGUAAGGCCCUUUCGGGGGUACACGAGUGGCGAACGGGUGAGUAACACGUGAGUAACCUGCCCACAACUUUGGGAUAACGCUAGGAAACUGGUGCUAAUACUGGAUAUGUGCUCCUGCUGCAUGGUGGGGGUUGGAAAGCUCCGGCGGUUGUGGAUAGACUCGCGGCCUAUCAGCUUGUUGGUGGGGUAGUGGCCUACCAAGGCGGCGACGGGUAGCCGGCCUGAGAGGGUGACCGGCCACAUUGGGACUGAGAUACGGCCCAGACUCCUACGGGAGGCAGCAGUGGGGAAUAUUGCACAAUGGGCGCAAGCCUGAUGCAGCAACGCCGCGUGCGGGAUGACGGCCUUCGGGUUGUAAACCGCUUUCAGCAGGGACGAAGCUUUUUGUGACGGUACCUGCAGAAGAAGCACCGGCUAACUACGU
rnacentral:rRNA from 1 species